UACGGAGGGUGCGAGCGUUAUUCGGAAUCACUGGGCGUAAAGCGCGCGUAGGUGGUUUGAUAAGUUGGAUGUGAAAGCCCCGGGCUCAACCUGGGAAUUGCAUCCAAAACUGUCUGGCUAGAGUAUGGCAGAGGGUGGUGGAAUUUCCUGUGUAGCGGUGAAAUGCGUAGAUAUAGGAAGGAACACCAGUGGCGAAGGCGACCACCUGGGCUAAUACUGACACUGAGGUGCGAAAGCGUGGGGAGCAAACAGG
rnacentral:rRNA from 1 species